rnacentral:rRNA from 1 species
UACGAAGGGGGCUAGCGUUGUUCGGAAUUACUGGGCGUAAAGGGCGCGUAGGCGGCGUGUCAAGUCAGGCGUGAAAGCCCCGGGCUCAACCUGGGAACCGCGCUUGAGACUGGCAUGCUCGAGUUCGGGAGAGGAUGGUGGAAUUCCCAGUGUAGAGGUGAAAUUCGUAGAUAUUGGGAAGAACACCGAUGGCGAAGGCAGCCAUCUGGACCGACACUGACGCCGAGGCGCGAAAGCGUGGGGAGCGAACGGG